AGCAGCAGCUAUAUCACCCUGCAGCUCUCAACUGGCAGCCCACUGAAGCUCAGCAGGGUUGAGCCUGGUCAGUACCUGGAUGGGAGACUUCUUGGGAGGUUUUGUUUGUUGUUGGAG
rnacentral:rRNA from 1 species